UGGGAGGAGUCCUCGUAGUGGAAUUAGUGUCCUUAUAAGAAGAAACACCAGACACCUGUUCUCUCUCUAACUCCUCUGUGAGGACCCAGCUAGAGAGUGUCUGUUUGCAAGCCAGGAGCAGAGCUCUCGGCAGAAACCAACCAUGCUGGCAUCUUCAUCUUGGCAUCUUCAUCUUGGACUUCUAGACUUCAGACUAUGGUAAAAUAAAUUUCUGCUGUUUAAGCUACUCAAUCUAUGGUGUUUUGUUAUGGCAGAGUGAGCUGAAUAAGACAGGAAGAAACUGGGCAAAAGGUACGCCAGAACUCUCUUUAUUAUUUCUUACAAGUUUAUGUAAAUCUAUAAGUAUCUCAAAAUCAAAUGUUUAAUUAAAGAGUCUAUUUUUACAUACAUAUUUGAAAGUUAUCUUUGUAUGCCAUAAAAUAAUGCUUCCCGUUCUUAUGGUACUUUAUAUUUUUCAGGUGAUUUCAUACAGUAUCCUUCACCAGAAUUUGGUUACACAUUCGGGAGCCACUGCUGGUCUUUUAGAAAUGAGAAAACUGAAUCCACUAGAGUUUCCCACAAGGCACUCGGCAGCAUUGGGAAGAUCUUCGCCCCUCAAUGGGACCUAUCAGGAUGGUCUGCUGCUCGCCUUGGCUUUGAGGUCAUACGCUAAAUGA
rnacentral:lncRNA from 1 species